rnacentral:lncRNA from 1 species
AUUUUCCCUUUUUGUUGUUGGGGGUGACUUCUUCCCAGGCAUGUUAUUCUUGACCCCCCGGGGCAAACGGAGGUGUCAGCGUCAGGAGCCAUCCUAACUGAGGCCCUGGGAGGUCAGUGCUUUUUGUGUGACUGGACGGUGAAGCCGUCUGUGGGAAUGACCUGGCUACGGCUCAGUGUAGUCCUAACUAAGGUGUCUUUUACUCCGUGUUCCCAGGCUCCCUCUUUCCCUUCGGUCGCCGUGGGUGUGCCGGACGCCUCUGGCAGGACUAACCCUGUGGCUUUUAUGUCCAACGUGCUGUGCUGUGUGUGCCUGCAGGUCAUAUUUAUCUGCCUGUCAGAACUCUUGGAGCACUGGAUGGAGAGCAGGUCCUAUGAAGAGGAUUAUGGAGUAAAAGGCAGCUUGUACUUAAGUGCAGGGUGGUUGGUGUUUCUGCAGUGUUUGGCACAGGACUGGACUGAAUGCACUCCCUUUAUUCACCUUUUCAGAGAGUAUCAUCCAGAAUACGAGCGCCUGAGAAAAACACUGGACCUGAUGCUUCUGCAAUGGGUCCCUCUGAGCUAAUACUAACACGAGGAACUCUCGAUGAAGAGCAAGAAGAGAGGGAGGGUGACGCUGAUGGCAUUGACCAUGAAGGUAAGGGAAUGAGGUCUAAAAGCUGCCUCUCAAGAAAUCCCCUCUGUAUUUCAUGACCUGGAUGGACUGUAAGGAGAGCUUAGAAAACAAGCAAACAUUCAGUCACCUGACGUGUCAGAAUCUGUAGCAGAAGCUCAGCUGCAAUGGUCAGUGCAGGGAUAUCACUCUGUAACCUUUGUGAAAGUUCAAUUGUAAAUUUUCUAUUCAGGUACUUAAUAGGUGUAUAACACACAUAAACCAGAGAACUUGUUAGGCUUGGGGCAUGCAGUGACCUCUGAACCUGUUUGAUGCACAGAUGUGUCCAUCAUCUUUUUGGCCUUACAGUUUCUGCCCCUGGCUCUCUUCCCUUUUCCUGUGACUGUGGUCUUGGAGCAAUGUUCUAAGUUGUUACAGUGUGAUUUUUCUCUUAUAUAGCUCACAGACUUAAUCUUCAUUCUUUCCCUGUUUCACUGAUGGGUAGGAUCACUUAUUUCCUUUGCCCUAUAAUGUAGUUGAAGAUGGAAUAGACUUUCUAUGUUGCUUUGGCUAUCCUGAUUCUAGCUUUUUUUCAGAAGCACAAGUAGAACAAGUACUGAAAUAGCGCUGAACUUCAACAGCAACGGGGACUGCGCAGGAGAAGGAGGGUGGGCAGCGGGCCUGGGGCGGGCAGGGGGAUGGGGGUGGGGGCGGG